rnacentral:rRNA from 1 species
GACGAACCGUGCGAACGUUGUUCGGAAUCACUGGGCUUAAAGGGCGCGUAGGCGGGCGGCCGCGUCCGGGGUGAAAUCCCACGGCUCAACCGUGGAACGGCCUCGGAUACGGACGGCCUCGAGGGGGGUAGGGGCAUCUGGAACUGUGAGUGGAGCGGUGAAAUGCGUUGAUAUUCACAGGAACUCCGGUGGCGAAGGCGAGGUGCUGGACCCCAUCUGACGCUGAGGCGCGAAAGCCAGGGGAGCGGAACGGG